rnacentral:snRNA from 1 species
AUACCUACCUGGCAGGGGAGAUACCAUGAUCACGAAGGUGGUUUUCCCAGGACGAGGCUUAUCCAUUGCACUCCGGAUGUGCUGACCUCUGCGAUUUUCCCAAAUGUGGGAAACUCGACUGCAUAAUUUGUGGUAGUGGGGGACUGCGUUCGUGCUUUUA